UUUUAGCUGCUGAUAUACUGUACACAGACUACAGAAAGAUCCAACCCUCUGUCAGCCUCUUCAAACCUGUGGCCUGUGUCCAGAUUUGCAGUGUUUGCGAGCCAGUACCUCCUGCCAUUUCAGCCCAAUUAGAAGCUCCCCUUCCUGGGCAGAGAGGAGCAGAAAGGGCCCCUCCUUCCUUCCAGCCUUAUAUCUGUUGCUCUCCUGUUAUGACAGCCUCUGACACGAGGUCUGUGUAAUUACUGCUGCCUGAAGGAGCAAGACAGUAUGGGGCAAGACAGAGGGAAGGGAGGAAGGGAUGCAGCAGAGGGAAAGCACAGAGGAAGAGGAGAGAUGUGUGGACAGGAUCGGCUCGGGAAAAGAGGAGAAAAGCGGAAGCGUAGAAGUCGGGAGAAGGAGAGAGUGAGCAGACGGCUGGCAGACGACCUCCUGCUGGUUGUUUGUACAUGCAGUGUGAGGAAAGAAGAGUUACAAAGUUGAGAUUCUGUUUGCAGGAUAAAAUGCUUCCUCUGCAGAGGUGAGGUAAAGGUAAAAACCCUGCAAACACCAUCAGAGGACAGACCAGAUAAAGCAAAGUGAGAACAUGAAACCCAAACAGACCUGGAAGUUAUCCAAGGUCUGACAGAAGACCAGCAGCACCAGCCAUGGCAGAACCAAC